rnacentral:rRNA from 1 species
AGCGGAGGAAAAGAAACCAACAGGGAUUGCCUCAGUAACGGCGAGUGAAGCGGCAACAGCUCAAAUUUGAAAUCUGGCCUUCUGGCCCGAGUUGUAAUUUGCAGAGGAUGUUUCUGGCGAGGUGCCUUCCGAGUUCCCUGGAACGGGACGCCAUAGAGGGUGAGAGCCCCGUACGGUUGGUCGCUGAGCCUCUGUGAAACUCCUUCGACGAGUCGAGUAGUUUGGGAAUGCUGCUCUAAAUGGGAGGUAUACGUCUUCUAAAGCUAAAUACCGGCUAGAGACCGAUAGCGCACAAGUAGAGUGAUCGAAAGAUGAAAAGCACUUUGAAAAGAGGGUUAAAUAGUACGUGAAAUUGUUGAAAGGGAAGCGCUCAUGACCAGACUUGGGCCGGUUGAUCAUCCGUCGUUCUCGGCGGUGCACUCUGCCGGCUCAGGCCAGCAUCAGCUUGGCCCGGGGGACAAAGGUUUCGGGAAUGUGGCUCCCCUCGGGGAGUGUUAUAGCCCGUUGCGUAAUACCCUGGGCUGGGCUGAGGUACGCGCUCCGCAAGGAUGCUGGCGUAAUGGUCAUCAGUGACCCGUCUUGAAACACGGACCAAGGAGUCGUCUUCGUAUGCGAGUGUUCGGGUGUCAAACCCCUACGCGUAAUGAAAGUGAACGUAGGAGAGAGCUUCGGCGCAUCUCCGACCGAUCCUGAUGUUCUCGGAUGGAUUUGAGUAAGAGCAUACGGGGCCGGACCCGAAAGAAGGUGAACUAUGCCUGUAUAGGGUGAAGCCAGAGGAAACUCUGGUGGAGGCUCGCAGCGGUUCUGACGUGCAAAUCGAUCGUCAAAUAUGGGCAUGGGGGCGAAAGACUAAUCGAACCUUCUAGUAGCUGGUUC